AUUGAACGCUGGCGGCAGGCCUAACACAUGCAAGUCGAGCGGAUGAAGGGAGCUUGCUCCUGGAUUCAGCGGCGGACGGGUGAGUAAUGCCUAGGAAUCUGCCUGGUAGUGGGGGAUAACGUCCGGAAACGGGCGCUAAUACCGCAUACGUCCUGAGGGAGAAAGUGGAGGAUCUUCGGACCUCACGCUAUCAGAUGAGCCUAGGUCGGAUUAGCUAGUUGGUGGGGUAAAGGCCUACCAAGGCGACGAUCCGUAACUGGUCUGAGAGGAUGAUCAGUCACACUGGAACUGAGACACGGUCCAGACUCCUACGGGAGGCAGCAGUGGGGAAUAUUGGACAAUGGGCGAAAGCCUGAUCCAGCCAUGCCGCGUGUGUGAAGAAGGUCUUCGGAUUGUAAAGCACUUUAAGUUGGGAGGAAGGGCAGUAAGUUAAUACCUUGCUGUUUUGACGUUACCAACAGAAUAAGCACCGGCUAACUUCGUG
rnacentral:rRNA from 1 species